ensembl:lincRNA
GAGACACACACACACACACUCUUAUACUUGCUAAGACAGAGACACAAGGCAAAGAAAAACAAUCCAAAUUGGGAACAGUUGAGGUCCCUAAUUUGUAAGAGACAUUCAUAUUAUAUGUAAGUUUUUGACACUAGAUAUUCAGUUGAAAAUUCCUAACGCUUUUUUUAAUGGCUCUAGGUAAGCAGCAAUUUAAACAGUCCCUUGUUUUGCUUUGUUUAUUUCUAAGUAACCUUUCAGAUUGAAAAUCAAACUAAAAGCAAGUCAGUAAAACCUAUUUGAUUAAAUGAAAAUGUCAUGUAUUUCACAACUUUUAAAAAAUCUUGUCUGGCAAAAUGUUUAAUAAGAAAAAUCUGGUUUUGUUUUGCUCUGCUUUAUUUUGCUCUUACUUGCAGCUUUUUUUUUAGAUCACUGUGGGCAGAACUGUGUUCAACGGCUUCCCGUGGCCCAGGACAAGUUUUUUUAGUGACUGGAGUGUGUCAGUGUCCACCUGGCCGAAUGGGAACCAGGUGUCAGGAAGUGCUUCCUAAUGAUAAACCUGUCGUGGGUAACUUCAUGCAUACUGGAGAAGUAUCAUCCACAUCAAGCCUAGUCAAAUUCAACUCUACGUAUCUGUUAAGAGGGCAGAGGGGGAUCAGAGAUAGAAAGCGAGAAGAGAGAAAAACAAAGGCAAAAGGAGGUAAUAAAUAAAAGGUGAGGAAAUUGUAUUCCAUGGGUGAGUGGUAAGCAUAGCCCCAGAGAAAAUUCAAGAAAAGAAAUGGAAAUCCUUUGUCCACAGUCAAACUCUCCCACACCUCUUCAGAAUGAGCAUCUCCCCAGGCAGAUGACAAUUUUAGCUUUCAAAUAAGGGUAUUUGCUUAGACUACAUGAUUUCUAAAUACAAACCAAUGACUUCUUCUGAUGUGCAGCCAGAAGAAUAUUGAUAUUCUCCAGUCUUGGAGAUAAAACCUCCAAGACGUUUUAAGUCCUCCAUAUUGGACUUACUAAGAGACAAUUCUGUAUUGUACUUGAUUGGCCACCUAAGGAAAUGUUUCAAAGACUAAAUUUUAUACUUUUAACACCUAACUUCCUUGUAAGAUAUUUACCUACCAUAUAUGCAUCAUAUUCUUUUGCCCUCUUUCUUCCUUCUUCUCUUCCUCCUUCCUUUCUCUCACACCCAUCUCUCAUACCCAUCAUUUACUCCCAGGGCUUCAAAUAUCAAAAUGAUCAAAUAUCAAAAUAUCAGGACUUCAAAUAUCAAAAUGAUCAAAUAUCAAAAGAAAUGGGAGAAAGAUCAUCUCUCCCACACCCAUCAUUUACUCCCAAGGCUUCAAAUACCAAAAACUAUAUGAUAUCACCUUCCACAGAUACUCUUAUUUAUUUAAAUAAUUUAACUUAAAAAUCAUUCUCACUAAAUUUAGCCUGGAUUUGAACACAUUGCUUCUUUAUGUCUUUAAGGUAUUGAAGGAUUUUUUUUAUUUUUUAUUUAUUUGUUUUUUUGAGAUGGAGUCUCACUCUGUCACCCAUCACCUAGGCUGGAGUGGCACAAACUCGGCUCACUGCAACCUCUACCUCUCAGGUUCAAGCGAUUCUCAUGCCUCAGCCUCCUGAGUAGGGAUUACAGACAUGCAUCACCAUGCCUGGCUAAUUUUUAUAUUUUUGGUAGAGACGGGGUUUCACCAUGUUGGUCAGGCUAGUCUCAAACUCCUGACCCCGUGAACCACCCGCCUUGGCCUCCCAAAGUCCUGGGAUUACAGGCGUGAGCCACCGCGCCCAGCCAGUAUUGAAGGAUUUUAGGAAAGGCUUUGACCAAAUGUUUAUGUGCACAUCAUAAGACAUAAGCAUGAUCUACUUAAAGCUAUUUCAAUUUCCUCAUUCAUUUUUC